GAGUUUGAUCAUGGCUCAGAGUGAACGCUGGCGGCAGGCCUAACACAUGCAAGUCGAGCGGCAGCGCGGGGGCAACCCUGGCGGCGAGCGGCGGACGGGUGAGUAACGCGUAGGAAUCUACCCAGUAGCGGGGGAUAGCCCGGGGAAACUCGGAUUAAUACCGCAUACGCCCUAAGGGGGAAAGCAGGGGAUCUUCGGACCUUGCACUAUUGGCAGAGCCUGCGUUGGAUUAGCUAGUUGGUAGGGUAAAGGCCUACCAAGGCAACGAUCCAUAACUGGUCUGAGAGGAUGAUCAGUCACACCGGAACUGAGACACGGUCCGGACUCCUACGGGAGGCAGCAGUGGGGAAUAUUGGACAAUGGGGGCAACCCUGAUCCAGCCAUGCCGCGUGUGUGAAGAAGGCC
rnacentral:rRNA from 1 species